UUUAAGGUUUGAUCUGCCCUAUGAGGAAUUAAAUGGCCGCGGUAUUUUGACCGUGCAAAGGUAGCAUAAUAAUUAGUUUUUUAAUUGGAAGCUAGAAUGAAUGAUUGGACGAGAAAAUGACUGUCUCAGUUUAAUUUUAUUAGAAUUUUAUUUUUAAGUAAGAAAGCUUAAAUUUUAUUUAAAGACGAGAAGACCCUAUAGAGUUUUAUGGUUAUGUUAUUAUUAAUUUUUAAGAAUUUUUUUAUUAGUAUUAAUUUAAUUAUUAUGUUGGGGUGAUAGAGAAAUUUAAUUAACUUUUUUUAAUUUUUAAUACAUUGAUUUAUGAAUUUAUGAUCCAUUAUUUAUGAUUAUAAGAUUAAGUUACCUUAGGGAUAACAGCGUAAUUUUUUUUUAGAGUUCUUAUCGAAAAAAAAGAUUGCGACCUCGAUGUUGGAUUAAAAUUAAUUUUAGGUGUAGGUGCUUAGAAAUUAGGUCUGUUCGACCUUUAAAAUUUUACA
rnacentral:rRNA from 1 species